rnacentral:rRNA from 1 species
UACGUAGGGGGGCAAGCGUUGUCCGGAUUUAUUGGGCGUAAAGAGCGUGUAGGCGGCCUGAAAGGUCAGCUGUGAAAAACUCGAGGCUCAACCUCGAGACGUCGGUUGAAACCAUCUGGCUAGAGUUCGGAAGAGGAGUGUGGAAUUCCCGGUGUAGCGGGUGAAAGUGCGCAGAUAUCGGGGAAGAACACCCGUGGCGAAGGCGGCACUCUGGGACGGUACUGACGCUGAGACGCGAAAGCGUGGGGAGCGAACGAGG